AAAAGCCUUUUGAGUGUAAUGAAUGUGGGA
rnacentral:piRNA from 1 species